AGUGAACGCUGGCGGUAGGCCUAACACAUGCAAGUCGAACGGCAGCACAGGAGAGCUUGCUCUCUGGGUGGCGAGUGGCGGACGGGUGAGGAAUACAUCGGAAUCUGCCCAGUCGUGGGGGAUAACGUAGGGAAACUUACGCUAAUACCGCAUACGACCUUCGGGUGAAAGAGGGGGAUCGCGAGACCUCUCGCGAUUGGAUGAGCCGAUGUCGGAUUAGCUAGUUGGCGGGGUAAUGGCCCACCAAGGCGACGAUCCGUAGCUGGUCUGAGAGGAUGAUCAGCCACACUGGAACUGAGACACGGUCCAGACUCCUACGGGAGGCAGCAGUGGGGAAUAUUGGACAAUGGGCGCAAGCCUGAUCCAGCCAUACCGCGUGGGUGAAGAAGGCCUUCGGGUUGUAAAGCCCUUUUGUUGGGAAAGAAAUCUUUCAGGCUAAUACCCUGGGAGGAUGACGGUACCCAAAGAAUAAGCACCGGCUAACUUCGUG
rnacentral:rRNA from 1 species